GAUGAUUUAUUGUUUAAAAAGUAGCAUGCAUCUAAUCAAUAUUUUCAACAAAAAUAUCACUUGGAAUAAAACAUUUGUCCCAUACAUUCGAAAUAUAAUUAAAAAAAAACAAUCCUUUUAAAAGAAUAUGAUGAGGAUGAGCAACAUCUCAAUUCAAAUCACCAAAUACAAAUCAAGUCGAACCAAAAUUCGAUCAAUUCAUCAUCCCCAAAUGGCUGGAAUAGAAGAACUUACAAAAAAGCUCACACUUUGUCCGAUUGCAAAAAGGGCUUCUCCGCCGGCGGCUCUUCCUUGGAGCUCGACCCUUGCGAUUCCUACACACUAUCGGACAGGCGUGUACAACAUCAACGAGCUCGGAUUGCAGAAAUGCACGACCUUGGCGGUGGAUGACAGCGCCGAGUAGACCUACCGGUGUGCCACUGAGGAUAUGAGGGUGUUUGGGCAAUUGGCAGCGGCGCCAGCAGCGUUGUGCACAGAGCUAUCCACAUUCCCACUUAUCGGAUUCUAGCGCUAAAGAAGAUCAACAUUUUCGAAAAGGAACUUUAUGCUAGUGAUUAGUGACCGGAAAGGAAAUGCUGCGGAAAAAACCCCAUAAAUUUUGAGUGUGGGAAUUGAAACAGAGCGUUGUUUGUUGCAUGAUAGGAGAAAAGGCAACAGCUGCUUACUGAGAUACUGACACUGCGAACCACCUUGUUACUAAGGCCUUGUAGAAUUUCAUGGCGCAUUCUAUACACCGGAUUCUGGUCAAAUAAGCAUAGCUUUAGAGUAUAUCGAUGGAGGAUCAUUGGCGGAUACUGAUGCGGUUCGUGAUACUUGUUGCAUCUUUGUACUUUGGUUUAAUCGUCAUGAUUCAUCACUGAUUUCUUCAGUGCAUUCAUUUCCACUACUGGCAGCGUCUCCUUUCGCGUUACAUUUGACGCAUAGAUAUUAAAAGUGGUCUUUUGAUAUUAACAAAUCUAGCAAUGUAAUUACGAGUUUGCGACAUUUGUUGGGACGGUCACUUACAUGUCGCCUGAGCGAAUUCGAAACGAGAAUUAUUCUUAUCCAGGUCAUAUUUGGAGCCUUGGUCUUGCUCUCUUUGAGUGUGGUACUAGAGAAUUUUCAUAUACAGCUAAUGAAGGGCCCGUCAAUCUUAUGCUGCAGGUAAAUACCUGUCAAUCUUAUGCUGCAUUCAUACCCUUACCAAUGCCUACAUCCAACGUUGUUUUGCAACUGAGGUUCUGCGGUCUAUGGCAGAUCUUGCGUGAUCCAUCACCUACACCUUCAAAACACAAAUUUUCAUCAGAAUUCUGCUCGUUUAUUGAAGCCUGCCUGCAAAAGGAUGCAGAUGAUCGUAUUAGCCACAGAUUUCAAACUGGGAGAUGGUAGCUUGACAUCAACAUUGUUUAACUAGUAUUCUUCUUCUGCAGAUACUUUCACACCCCUUCAUCACAAAGUACGAGGAUUCCCAAGUGGACUUAGGAGCAUUUGUCUGAAGCGUUUUUGAUCCAACACAGAGGAUGAAGGACUUGGCAGAUAGGAUCCAAAUGGCUGGAUUACAAAAGCUAAGAAAAAAGCUCUUUCCUUUUGGUUGGAUUUUGAAUUUCCACGAAUUGUGGAAACUGAAUUUUGGUUUGGGCGAUCGGAUAGAGGAACAGUGAAGCUGCUGAUCAGAUUGUACGCUGUGUACAACAUCAACGAGCUUGGGUGAAAGUUGCGAGCAUGGCAGCGAGAACAUCUUGGGUAACCUCCGCCCCCAACACUAACGUGUUUUAUUGCGGAAGAUAACACGUCUGGGGAAAGUGUCCGUUGAUGUCAGAAACCUUGGCCAAAAUAUAUGCACAGCAAACAAUGGCGAAUGUUAUAAGAAGUGAUGUUCUAUCCACACACCAUUUUUUACUUCUCAACACCCUUUAUUAAUUUCUGUCAUUUGAUAUUCUUCAAUUCAUUUAAUCUGAUAGCCUGAAAUUAAGAGGAUGUGUGAGAAGUAAAAAAGGAUGUGUGGAUAGUAUACCCAUAGAAAAAACGCCAAAACGGUUCAAUAACUA